AUACCUUUCUUGGUCUUUUGACUAAUAUGAAGUGUAAUAUUUAUUAUUAUUAGUUUAAUAUAUAAUGUGUGGACCAAAUGUUCACUUUAUAUUAAAUUUAUUUUAUGAGUAUCAAAUUGAUUGUGUGCCGUCACAACGCACGGGUACAGUGCUAGUUCUAACAUAUGCAACACUCAUGUCGCUCUACGUGCUAGGGUUUUCAUUCCUCGACUCAGUAUCUAACCACCU
rnacentral:snRNA from 1 species